AGUGAACGCUGGCGGUAGGCCUAACACAUGCGAGUCGAACGGCAGCACAGUAAGAGCUUGCUCUUACGGGUGGCGAGUGGCAGACGGGUGAGGAAUACAUCGGAAUCUACUUUUUCGUGGGGGAUAACGUAGGGAAACUUACGCUAAUACCGCAUACGACCUACGGGUGAAAGCAGGGGAUCCUCGGACCUUGCGCGAUUGAAUGAGCCGAUGUCGGAUUAGCUAGUUGGCGGGGUAAAGGCCCACCAAGGCGACGAUCCGUAGCUGGUCUGAGAGGAUGAUCAGCCACACUGGAACUGAGACACGGUCCAGACUCCUACGGGAGGCAGCAGUGGGGAAUAUUGGACAAUGGGCGCAAGCCUGAUCCAGCCAUACCGCGUGGGUGAAGAAGGCCUUCGGGUUGUAAAGCCCUUUUGUUGGGAAAGAAAAGCAGCAGGUUAAUACCCCGCUGUUCUGACGGUACCCAAAGAAUAAGCACCGGCUAACUUCGUG
rnacentral:rRNA from 1 species